GUGUCAGCAGCCGCGGUAAUACGGAGGGUGCGAGCGUUGUCCGGAAUCACUGGGCGUAAAGGGCGCGUAGGUGGCCCGUUAAGUGGCUGGUGAAAUCCCGCGGCUCAACUGCGGGGCUGCCGGUCAUACUGGCGAGCUAGAGCACGGUAGGGGCAGAUGGAAUUCCCGGUGUAGCGGUGGAAUGCGUAGAGAUCGGGAAGAAUACCAGUGGCGAAGGCGUUCUGCUGGGCCGUUGCUGACACUGAGGCGCGACAGCGUGGGGAGCAAACAGGAUUAGAUACCCUGGUAGUCCACGCCGUAAACGAUGGACACUAGACGUCGGGGGGAGCGACCCUCCCGGUGUCGUCGCUAACGCAGUAAGUGUCCCGCCUGGGGAGUACGGCCGCAAGGCUGAA
rnacentral:rRNA from 1 species